CAUUUGUUCCCUAAAUAGGGACUUGUAUGAAUGGCCACACGAGGGUUUUACUGUCUCUUACUUCCAAUCAGUGAAAUUGACCUUCCCGUGAAGAGGCGGGAAUAAAAAAAUAAGACGAGAAGACCCUAUGGAGCUUUAACUAACUAGUCCAAAGAAAAUAAACCUACCACCAAGGGACAACAAAAUUCUCUAUGAACUAAUAGUUUCGGUUGGGGUGACCUCGGAGAAUAAAGAAUCCUCCGAGCGAUUUUAAAGACAAGACCUACAAGUCAAAUCAAACCAUCGCUUAUUGAUCCAAAAAAUUUGAUCAACGGAACAAGUUACCCUAGGGAUAACAGCGCA
rnacentral:rRNA from 1 species